UUUUUUUUUUUUUCAUUUAUAGUGAUUUUUAUUUUUUCCAUUAGAGCUGGUUUACAGUGUUCUGUCAAUUUUCUACUGUACAGCAUGGUGACCCAGUUACACAUACAUGUAUACCUUCUUUUCUCUCACAUUAUCAUGCUCCAUCAUAAGUGACUAGACAUUAUAUCCAUUUUUAAGCACUUAAUUUUCAAUGCAUAUUAAUUCUCUUUUUAUGAUUUUUAUUUUUCCAUUAUACUUGAUUUACAGUGUUCCAUGUUAAGUCUCUUAAUCCUCUUUUCUUUUCCUUUCUCAACUAAAAAAUACAGAAUGGAAAAAGCAGGCUUGUGUGAUGGUCCCCCAUGGAGACAAAGCAGAGCCUGGAACCAGGGCUGCAUCUGAGCCGGUAGAUCUGGUCCCUUCCAGACUCUGGUGAGGCAGAUGCAGCUGCAGAUGUGGGGUGCUCAGGGCGCCCUCCUUCCCUCUAGUCCAAGGCACACACUUUGCACACACUUGGGAAACAGGUCCCAAGUCAUUGAAAUUGCACAAGGAAGAAAGCUGGAGAUUCAUCACUGAGAAUCUUCAGAGAAAAAAAGUCAGUGAAGCCAAGUUGUCUUGGGAACCCAACUUUUCUCCUCCCAUCCCCCCAAAUGGCUUUAUCAGAAAGUAUCACCACGAAGAGGUCCUUUAAUCAACAACCACUUGCGGUCUCUUGCAAAGACUAUUUGGUUGGAAUUUCUCAACUUUUAAAUUUCCUUUCAGACAGAUCAAUUUGGAGAGCUCAACUUUUUAGUAUUUCCCAGCGUCAGUCUCCACAGCUGACGCCCUCACCCAAGGGUGACACUUCAUUUAUGCCAACAUCCUAAAUCUGGAUUAUACAAUUUCGGUAACCCUAACUCAGUUACACAAACUACUGGGAAUACUAACCACACCCUUCUCUCCACAGGAUGAAGGAGGAAAAAGACUAAGGAGGUUUGGAAGCUGGGACACUGGACCCCUGCCCAGGCUUCUUCCCAUCCCUAGGCCAUGGUGGGACCUGCCUCCUGGGGCCUCAGAGCCCACCGGGCCGGGCGGUUCUACUGCUAAUACUCGGACAAGGGCGGGAGGUGCCUGCUGCCCCAGAGGACAUAGAGCAAGACCUGCCUGGCACUCCCUUCAUCUCAGGUCAACAAGCUCAGGUCAGAUGCAUUUGUAACAAAAAGGCUUUCCUGCAGGCCCCCUACCACAGUAACAGAAUAUAGAGACACUAGCUCCUUCGAGCCUCACACCUAACAGGAGGUCAGCACACCUGCAUAAAGGUUCUAGGGCACCUCCUCCGUGCUCUUGCCUGUAACUGACAGAGCACUGAGGGGCAAAGAAAGUCAUGUGCAGAAAUGUUAACACAGGAGUUCCUGUGGUGGCUCAGUGGUUAACGAAUCCGACUAGGAACCAUGAGGAAUGUGUAUUCUGAAAACUUUUUACGGAGCCACUUCCGGGAGGUGGAAGCCAGGCAUCUAUCCCCAAACACGGCUCCCAUGGAAAUUGUCUGGGCGGUUUUUUGCAAAGAAGGCUCCUGAGCCACGUCCAGGCCCACGGGACCCGUGUUACAAGAAUGGAAAACCGAGCGAGACUUCACAGGUGGCCAGGAUUAAUCAGGGAUUAGUUUGGGAUUAACACACACACACAUUACUAUAUAUAAGAUAGAUAAGCAACAAGGGCCUACUGUACAGCACAGGAAAUUCUACUGAAUAGUCUAAUAACCUAUACAGGAAAAGAAUCUGAAAAAGAAUAAAUCUGUGUACAUGCACAACUGGUUCACUUUGCUGUACACCUGAAACUAACACAACAUUGCAAAUCAAGUACACUCCGACAGAAAAUAAACAUUAAAUUUUUAGAAAGUGAUGGCAAGAUAAAGCACUUCACAAAGUACUGGUCUAUCCUGGUCUCACCGUAGCAGCUGGAGGGGAACUGGGCGACCCCUUCCAUGGCCACAUAACCCCCUCGUGGCCCCCUGACGUGUGCAAGUUGCAAAGGAAACAGGAGGAGGUGCUCAUCCUCAGCCCUCCUCCUGGCCCCAAAUUUGGUCCAGGAACAAGCAGAGUAUGAGACGCAAUUAGCAGCCCUGAGCUCUUAAUGAAAACCCAGACAUGUCCAUAGCGAUGACCUCAAAUGGCAGCUGGCACUCAGGGCAGAGAGCAAACUGCACAUUCAGGGAGCUGGUUCUCUAACCCCGGGCAGCUGUAACGUUGAGACAGUGGGCCUGCCCCUCCCAAGCUGCUCCUCUUCUUUGAAAAAGAGCUACAGAACCAAUUCCAUGCUCAAGUGUGUGUGUCCAGGGGGACAGGGGAGUUUCUUGAUGGAAAAUAGCCUAAAUUCGAAUUAUACUAGUGACAUGAGCCUUCCACGGCACAUACAAGAACUCUCCUCCAAAGAUAAAAUAUCCCAUGCAAUGCGGGCCUGAAGAAG
rnacentral:lncRNA from 1 species